rnacentral:lncRNA from 1 species
UAGACUGACUUAUCUUCCACUUAGGUUUCUUUACUUUGUUUGACCCCUAGAUUUCAGGUCUUCCUACUGACCUUGGCUUAGAUGGCUUCCCAAUGACUGGUAACAUGCAGGGCUGAUGUAGUAUUGAGCAACAGCUCUGCUUUCACAGCUUUAUCAAAGUGGUGUGACUAAGUGAACCGCCUUUUACCAGGGAUGAGCCCCAGUUGAAGAUGACAAGGUUCAGCUCCUCCAAAGCCAAAAUGAACAUGUGCCUUGCACUAAGAAAUCCCAGGAUUGUCACAAC